rnacentral:tRNA from 1 species
GCUUUCGUGGUGUAAUGGUAGCGCACUCGGGGUAUAUUCGAGAGAUCUAGGUUCGAGUCCCGGCUAGAGCA